UUCGCGCACUAAAUUCUAGAUUUGUGCUGUCGCCACCGCUUUGUCACCCCUUCACUAGAUCACCUCAUUUAUUUACCAAGCGCAUACCACAUUUCACAUUUCGUUAAAUGAGCAGAGACAACUGCAGUGGAUCAGCACCAAAUUGAAGAUUUCCUGUAGAGACAACAAAUUGUCAGUAGAUUUAAGUGAAUUAAGCGUAAGAGGAGGUGCGCGCACCGAGUGACUCCCAUGAGACAACAACCACCAUCACCACGACUAUUAUCAGCACAUCACAAAGUGAAAUAUUUAAUUCCGAAAGAGCCUAAACAGUAGUGAUAAAGUGACAAUUUCUUGAAAUGAGGCGAUGGAAAAAUUUUUAUGCACAAUUGAGUAAUGUCGCCUAUUCAUGGGAUGACAUCCUACGCCGCGUCUUUCCUAUAAACAAUUCAAUUCACUGUAAUGGGACGAAGAAGGCGAUUUUUGUGUGAAAAGUGAAACGAAAAUGAAGCGUCGUGAAUGAGCAAAUCAAAUUGAAUUGCUGAAAAGUGACUUUAAAAUGUGGCCGCAGUGGUGAAAUACGAGCACACGACUAGCUAUUUGGAGGCUAUGUUUGUAGUUAUGUUUGUGUGCAAUAGAAUAAUGAUUUUAAUUUUUUUUUUUUGAAUAAGUGAAAGGAAAUGAACUGCUGACAGCGGACAAGCGUUGAGCUUUACUUGGACACUAAAUUAUUUGUAAUACAACACCGCAGACGUUGAAGUUGGCAAAAAGAUGCUGUAGACACAGCUACGCAUCUUAAAUGAGCGGCAUAAAUAAAUGGAAAGGAAUAAAUUGAGUGAGAAGAAAUAAUAAUAAAUAAAUAAGUGAAAUUGACACAUGCAGUUGUAGAGCACCAAAAGCGAGGAGGCGUAGAAUGGGUGCCUAAACCAAAACAGCAGAAAAAAGCAAAAACAAACCCAAACUGCUAUUGAAGAAGUGUCAACGCAGCUGAAGGCAUUUCAAUAGUUCAACAGACAAAAGCCAGAUGAGCGUUGAAGGGUGAAGAUGAACGUUGACGGGUGCAGAGCAAAGCGUUGGCGCGCAUUUCGAUAACUAAGCCUCCUACGCCUGCUCCAUCUUCUCCAAAUCAGUGCACUCAAACCCACAUCAAACACACACUCAAGUGACAGCAUAAUAAUGACGCCCUGGCGGUUACAAUAACAAAACCGAAGUGAUCCGAUCGCCUAACGUACGAACUCAAAACGAUCAUGACAACAGCAUACGAGUACAAGCAAGAAAUAAUAAGAUUGUCAAGUGAAGCUGAUGAUAUGGGUUGGAUGAAAUAAACAGGAAAAAAAACAGCACUUCGUUAGCGAAUAGUUUGAGAGGCUUUGAGAGAAUGCAAAGAAUGAUGUGGUGUUUGGGGCAAAACAGAAAAAAUAAUUUAAUAAUUUCUGGAGCCGGCGUAAGUGAACAAUUUCAAUUCUUCAUAUCUGGAACGGAAAAGGUGAAAUCGUCCUGGGACUUAUACAUAACUAUAAUACUCACGGAAAAUUUUAAAAAAAACAAAAAACUACUGGAUAAACAAACCAAGCGCCAGCAUAAUCAACAGCCCAUCAAAGACUUGUGCGCUUUUAUUUAUUUGUCUAAAUGUUGACUGAGGAAAAACGUGUGAAUGCAUAGCUACAUAAAUGCGGUAAACUUUAGAGAAAAGCACCAGCCGGCAGCCACCAGUCACCAGUCAGCAGCCAGUAGUCACCAGCCAAUCAAAUUCAUGUUGUGCCAAUCACAAAGGUGGCACCACCACGCCGCCACCAGCCCCAGCAGACCACCCAAAUUUUAAUUUACACAAACAAGAAGAAAAAAAAAAAAAUUUGUUCAGAAUAUUUGUUGCUGUUGUCUCAGCAUUUAAAUUUCAAAUCAAAUGUCAUUCAUUCAAAACAUUCAAUCAAACAAACUCGUAAAUGCCACAAAACCAUCGCUAAAAUAAUAAAUUUUUCGUACAUAGGCAUUAUCUUUUUUAGUAGUUGUUGCUGUUGUCGUUACUGCUGUUUUUGCUGGCUGUAAUGUUGCAAAAUGUGUUUAUUUGUAUCCACAUAGUUGAUAUGUUGCGGUCUUGUUUGCAACUGUCAUACAUAUGCACAUACAAUUUGCACUCACACACAUACAUACAUGAGUGUGUACCUGUGUAGAUAAAUACCGCAAAACCACAUAAUCAAAUGCCUUAUAAAAAUAAACACUUUUUUCCUCAUUCACCGCUUAUGCUUAUUUUCUUGUUGG